rnacentral:rRNA from 1 species
UAUCCUGGCUCAGAUUGAACGCUGCGGCAGGCCUAACACAUGCAAGUCGAGCGGAUGAAGGGAGCUUGCUCCCUGAUUCAGCGGCGGACGGGUGAGUAAUGCCUAGGAAUCUGCCUGGUAGUGGGGGACAACGUUUCGAAAGGAACGCUAAUACCGCAUACGUCCUACGGGAGAAAGCAGGGGACCUUCGGGCCUUGCGCUAUCAGAUGAGCCUAGGUCGGAUUAGCUAGUUGGUGAGGUAAUGGCUCACCAAGGCUGCGAUCCGUAACUGGUCUGAGAGGAUGAUCAGUCACACUGGAACUGAGACACGGUCCAGACUCCUACGGGAGGCAGCAGUGGGGAAUAUUGGACAAUGGGCGAAAGCCUGAUCCAGCCAUGCCGCGUGUGUGAAGAAGGUCUUCGGAUUGUAAAGCACUUUAAGUUGGGAGGAGGGGCAUUAACCUAAUACGUUAGUGUUUUGACGUUACCGACAGAAUAAGCACCGGCUAACUUCGUG